rnacentral:rRNA from 1 species
AGUGAACGCUGGCGGUAGGCCUAACACAUGCAAGUCGAACGGCAGCACAGUAAGAGCUUGCUCUUACGGGUGGCGAGUGGCGGACGGGUGAGGAAUACAUCGGAAUCUACUUUUUCGUGGGGGAUAACGUAGGGAAACUUACGCUAAUACCGCAUACGCCCUACGGGUGAAAGCAGGGGACCUUCGGCCCUUGCGCGAUUGAAUGAGCCGAUGUCGGAUUAGCUAGUUGGCGGGGUAAAGGCCCACCAAGGCGACGAUCCGUAGCUGGUCUGAGAGGAUGAUCAGCCACACUGGAACUGAGACACGGUCCAGACUCCUACGGGAGGCAGCAGUGGGGAAUAUUGGACAAUGGGCGCAAGCCUGAUCCAGCCAUACCGCGUGGGUGAAGAAGGCCUUCGGGUUGUAAAGCCCUUUUGUUGGGAAAGAAAAGCAGCAGGUUAAUACCCCGCUGUUCUGACGGUACCCAAAGAAUAAGCACCGGCUAACUUCGUG